rnacentral:rRNA from 1 species
GUAGGGAAUAUUGGGCAAUGGAGGCAACUCUGACCCAGCCAUGCCGCGUGCAGGAUGACGGCCCUCUGGGUUGAAAACUGCUUUUAUACGGGAAGAAAAAAUACUACGUGUAGUAUACUGACGGUACCGUAAGAAUAAGGAUCGGCUAACUCCGUGCCAGCAGCCGCGGUAAUACGGAGGAUCCAAGCGUUGUCCGGAUUUAUUGGGUUUAAAGGGUGCGUAGGCGGAUCUUUAAGUCAGUGGUGAAAGCCUGCAGCUUAACUGUAGAAUUGCCAUUGAAACUGAAGAUCUUGAAUGUGGUUAAAGUAGGCGGAAUGUAUCAUGUAGCGGUGAAAUGCUUAGAUAUGAUACAGAACACCGAUAGCGAAGGCAGCUUGCUGAACCAUUAUUGACGCUGAGGCACGAAAGCGUGGGAAGCGAACAGGAUUAGAAACCCGAGUAGUCC